rnacentral:rRNA from 1 species
GAUGAACGCUAGCUACAGGCUUAACACAUGCAAGUCGAGGGGCAGCAUGGUCUUAGCUUGCUAAGGCCGAUGGCGACCGGCGCACGGGUGAGUAACACGUAUCCAACCUGCCGUCUACUCUUGGACAGCCUUCUGAAAGGAAGAUUAAUACAAGAUGGCAUCAUGAGUCCGCAUGUUCACAUGAUUAAAGGUAUUCCGGUAGACGAUGGGGAUGCGUUCCAUUAGAUAGUAGGCGGGGUAACGGCCCACCUAGUCUUCGAUGGAUAGGUGUUCUGAGAGGAAGGUCCCCCACAUUGGAACUGAGACACGGUCCAAACUCCUACGGGAGGCAGCAGUGAGGAAUAUUGGUCAAUGGGCGCAGGCCUGAACCAGCCAAGUAGCGUGAAGGAGGACUGCCCUAUGGGUUGUAAACUUCUUUUAUAAAGGAAUAAAGUCGGGUAUGUAUACCCGUUUGCAUGUACUUUAUGAAUAAGGAUCGGCUAACUCCGUG